rnacentral:ncRNA from 1 species
CAGAGUAGAAGUCACGCGUAAAGUGCCAAUGGACGGGAAGUUGCCAUUGGACGAAGAGUGGAGAUUAUACGGAGUAUGGUCGGAAACUCGCGGUGUGCCUUCGCAUCCGCUGU